AGUGAACGCUGGCGGCAGGCCUAAUACAUGCAAGUCGAACGGCAGCACAGCAGAGCUUGCUCUGUGGGUGGCGAGUGGCGGACGGGUGAGGAAUACGUGGGAAUCUGCCCAGUCGUGGGGGAUAACGUAGGGAAACUUACGCUAAUACCGCAUGCGCCCUUUGGGGGAAAGCCGGGGAUCUUCGGACCUGGCGCGAUUGGAUGAGCCCACGUCGGAUUAGCGAGUUGGAGGGGUAAAGGCCCACCAAGGCGACGAUCCGUAGCUGGUCUGAGAGGAUGAUCAGCCACACUGGAACUGAGACACGGUCCAGACUCCUACGGGAGGCAGCAGUAGGGAAUAUUGGACAAUGGGCGCAAGCCUGAUCCAGCCAUGCCGCGUGAGUGAAGAAGGCCCUCGGGUUGUAAAGCUCUUUUGUUGGGGAAGAAAAGCCUUGGGUUAAUACCCUGGGGUUCUGACGGUACCCAAAGAAUAAGCACCGGCUAACUUCGUGCCAGCCGCCGCAGUAA
rnacentral:rRNA from 1 species